rnacentral:lncRNA from 1 species
CCCCGCCUAGCUAAUUUUUUGUAUUUUUAGUAGAAACGGGGUUUCACCAUGUUAGCCAGGCUGGUUUCGAUCUCCUGACCUCAGGUGAUCCGCCCGCCUCGGCCUCCCAAAGUGCUGGGAUUAUAGGCAUGAGCUGCCACAACUGGACCCCAGAUUUAUCUUAACGUGUGCUUUGCAUUGAUCUAAAAGGCUAUGUUUUCAAAGAUUUCAUAAGUUUCAUCCGCAAUGCUCCAAGCGUGGGUUACCUAAUAAACAGCAUAAGUAUGAACAGAUCUAAGUAGAGAAAAAUCAAUGCACACUUGCCUGGUCUUUAUUACAAGGUGUGCUAAGCCUCAUAAGGACAGUUGAAGAGAAAAGAAGUGAGACUGUGCUAGUGGCUAUAGAAUUCUGCCAGGAGAGCUGGAGGUGGGGAGGAAGACUAUGAAUUCAACCAUGCCAAUAAUUUCAGUCAAAAAUUAAGAAAAAGCCCAUCUCCGCCCCCUUUUCGGUUAUCAAAUAUGCAUUGUUUUCCUCUUUUGUUGGGCUUUUGUGUCUGUUUCAUUCUCACCUUGACUCAGCCCCUGUGAGCUUCAACUCUAAGCCUAACUCCAGCCACGGAGAAACCACGGAGAGGUUUGUCCAGUGUCUGGAAGAUGGACUGACUGCUGAAACAGGAGCAAGAAGAACCUCCUAGCAGGUCAGACAUACCCAAAGACAGCCACAUGGAAAU